UCUUUCUUUCUUUCUUUCUUUCUUUCUCGUCUGAUACCCAUACUGAGCAUGGAUCUUCUCACCUCGAUUAACCUGAUAUAGAAACUGUCUCCGUGACAUGCUCAGAGGUCUGUUUCCAUGGCGAUUAAAAAUCUCAUCGAAUUGACAAUUAAGAUUGACUUCCACCGAGUAAAUGAACUCAGGAGACGUGGCUCAGAACCUCCGUCCCGGCUGUGGCCUGAUUGAGGUGGGAAGGAACACUUUCAGAAACCCAAAGGACCACAGCUGCCUUUUGUCAUCACGCCUCUGGGAACCCAGACUUUGGAACCCACAGCCUCUUGGGGGAGGGGGCACAGGCAGCUUAGCCUGUCUGACCUCCUGCUGUGGUCCACAGCACCCUGCUUGGAUGGGUUUCCUUGAAGCCCACAAGUCCCCGUCCUGAGAAUACAUCAGGCAGAAGAAACAGUUGACUCUGCACCACUCGGAGGAACACACACUUCUUCGGCUCAGUAAGAGAUUUAAGCCGUGGUGGUGGCUACACCGAGAAACCCUGUCUCGAAAACAAAACAAAACAAAACAAAACAAAACAAAACAAGAGAGAGAUUUAAGACAAGGUGAUAGGCCACACAGGAGAUCUAGGCCACCUCAUGAUCCCUUUUCUGGAGCUGUAUGACUGACAUCUCUCAUACUUGGACAGCCACAUUACCCAGGACUUAUAACUCUCCUGGGAGUUUGGGGGCAGAGGUGAGCAAAAGCUGCUCUGUCUCAGUGUGGGGCGAGGAGGAAAGCAAUGAAACCCUAGUCUGCCUUCUGCCAUUGGCCCCGUCUACGAGGUACCCUUUCACCUCAGCCUUCAUAGCUUAAAGAAAGGAAGGAAGAAUUGGUGACAAGCUGUUGUGUGUUCUCACUACCUGGAGUGGACCAAUUAAUUGUUCAAGGCUCCUAAAAUUAUGUAAGAAAAAAAUACAAACCCCACCCCUCCACAUGCACACACACAUACACGUGCACACACAUGCUCACACACCCACACACAUGCACACACAUGUGUGCAUGCAAACACACAUGCAUGUGCACUCACAUGCUCACACACAUGCACAUACAUGUGCAUGCAUACACACACGCAUGUGCAUACACAUGUUCAUACACUCACACACAUGCACACACACACAUGAGUACACACACACACACAUGCACAUACACAUGCAAGUGCACACAUACACACAUACACACAUCAAUUUAGUGAUUUAAAUGCAUGCUAAAUAAAUGACAGUAUUUAUUCUUUAUAAAAACCCUUUAAAUACAGACUAAAAGGAAAAACAAUGGAAAAGAAUCAUUUGGUAUAUUUCCCCCACAUAUAUUGCCUUCUUACUUGUCUGUACACAUUUUAACUUUGGCCAAGAAGUCUGUCCCCCCUGCCCCCGCCCCCGCUUACUGCUCAUCAGGCAGCAUCCUCAGGCACAACAGUCAUGAGGGCAAAUGUUCUUCAUGGGAUAACUACUGUGAGACAUGGUGGCUCUGACAGUGUGUCACGCUCACAUGGGCCUUAGAAAGGACAGUAGACCACUGUCAGAGCCACAGCGAGCUAUUUCUGGAGAUGUAAUCCACUUAUCCUUAAGAGUUGUAGGAGAUAGAGAGCUAUGCAAAGUCUGGUCUGCGCGGCUCUCAUGGACAGUGUGGCCAUAAUCACAGGAGAAGUUAAAGACAGACUUGAAACAGGCAAUUAUUGCAAUGCAAGGCACGCAUGAUUAACUAGGAGAUGAAUUAUUCAGGGAAGGCUGCUGUGGGAAUUCAGAUGAGGGAGACGCAGUGGGCAGUGCUUGAUCCAGGAAGCCCUCAUGGGGAAGAGGCACGGACUGAUUCUAAUGCUGGCCAGGGUUGGGAUGAGCUGGGAAAAGUCAUAGACAAGGUAAAAUGUAUGUUGCAGGCUUGAGAGGUUUUCUAAAAUAUGGAGUUUGUGGAGUAAAAAGAU
rnacentral:lncRNA from 1 species